UUGCCCUGACGGCCGGUUCCGAGAGAGAAAAAUAUGGUGAUGGUGGCUUUGACAAUUGUAGCGAGUUAACUUUCGUUUUUUUCUAAUGGAUUCUAUGCAAACUGAACGCACGAAACAUAUGGGUGAGUAGGAGAGGACUGUCAACGACGAAUCAUUUCACAAAAUCGAUUUAGAACAUGGGUUUACGCGAUGCUUAAUAGGUGCGUAUUAGAACAUUCUCCCCAUACAUGUUUGGAGGCAUGAACGACCGUUUGUUCUCGACAAAAUGUCAAUAUUGGAUGUGAUAAGAUAACUCUGCCUACGGCUGGUUGUCAUCCACAUUUGAAAUUCAGUGAGCGUUUAAGUUGGAUUGUGUGGGACUGAUCGAAUUCUGUCCUGCGGGGAUGAAGGAAUUGUAUCUGAAGUAUAAUCAAUUGUUGACAUUUCAAUGAUCUAUUGAAACUGGUCGAUAAACACUGAAGCAAAACUACGGGGCCGUCCAUAAAACUCGUGGUCAUUUAUGGGUGAAGAAGGGUCCACCACGGGUACCACUCCAGACAAUGAAACGGAGAGGCCUGGAAGUAAGGGGGAAAUUACCACGUGAUUCAUAGACCACCUCUGCUGAGAAUGUCAGUAAAUAAUCCCAGAGGAGCCUUAUGUGGGUGUCCAAAGAAAUUAGGGCAACAUUUGUUCAAUUUAUGCCAAUAAACAUUUCAGAUUCUAACAACUGGAGUACGAUGGUGUUCAGGCGGCGAAGACGUGCGCGAAAGCGGUUCCUCUUUUAAAUGCAUUGUUCUCGAUAAUAUGGUAGAAAUUUCUAAAAAAAAGUAGCGGAUAGUGCGUGUCGGUGGAUAUAGGAAUGAAUUUUCAUAGUGUUUAGUGAAAAAUUGUGAAAUUAUGGUAUUUUCGAGGUGUUCAAUCGAUUUUGUAAUGGCUUGGCCGAUGUGAAGUGAAAAAAAAAUCUGGUGGAGUGAAGAGAGGGGUUUCUUUAUUUGAAGCUUGAAUGAUGUUGUUGUAAUGGGGUUCAAUGGUGUUGAAUGAAUUGCUGUCAGUUGUCAUUUACAGCAUUUCAUAAAUAUUUCGUAAUAUGGUCGUUUCAUUCAAGAAUUUAUGUAAAAUCAUGUGUUUGAAGUGAGCAUCGAAUUUUCUGGAAGCAAUGGGUACUUCGGACCAGUAAGUGUGUGUGCGUGAAACUUAGCGCAUCAAGCGUUAUGUUGUCAUGACAACGACGAAAUGUGGUGUUAGAAGUGGAGCAACCUAAAGCUGUAGGCCGACGACAUAGUAACGCGGCGCGUCAAGUGGGGCGUGAGGCGUUCAUCGUGCGAUUUGCAUAUAAGCAUAUAUGUGACAUUGUGACGCCUUGUUGAAUCGCGUGGGUCGUCACUACAUUACAGGAUAUCCGGAAGAAAAUAAAUGCAAAAUAAAUAUUUUGCAGUUUUAGAUCUACAUUUCCUACCAUUAAGGGACUGUCCAUUAUUCACGUAACACAUUUUUGUGACCAUUUUCUGUAUGAAAAUAAAAAAAAAUAUUGUAUGGCGCGUAAGAAAUCUCAAUCUUAUUAAAUUUUGCGUGAAGUAAACACAAUCAUUAAUGAAAUGUUUCGCGAGUGCAGUAUAGCAUAUAGUGUAAAU